rnacentral:rRNA from 1 species
UACGUAGGGUGCGAGCGUUAAUCGGAAUUACUGGGCGUAAAGCGUGCGCAGGCGGUUCGUUGUGUCGGCGGUGAAAGCCCCGGGCUCAACCUGGGAACUGCAUUGGAAACUAACGGGCUCGAGUGUGGCAGAGGGGGGGUGGGAAUUCCACGUGUAGCAGUGAAAUGCGUAGAGAUGUGGAGGAACACCGAUGGCGAAGGCAGCCCCCCUGGGCUAACACUGACGCUCAGGCACGAAAGCGUGGGGAGCAAACAGG